rnacentral:rRNA from 1 species
UACGUAGGGUGCAAGCGUUGUCCGGAAUUAUUGGGCGUAAAGAGCUCGUAGGCGGUUUGUCGCGUCUGCUGUGAAAAUCCAGGGCUUAACCCUGGACCUGCAGUGGGUACGGGCAGACUAGAGUGCGGUAGGGGAGAUCGGAAUUCCUGGUGUAGCGGUGAAAUGCGCAGAUAUCAGGAGGAACACCGGUGGCGAAGGCGGAUCUCUGGGCCGUAACUGACGCUGAGGAGCGAAAGUGUGGGGAGCGAACAGG